rnacentral:rRNA from 1 species
GAUGAACGCUGGCGGCGUGCCUAAUACAUGCAAGUCGAGCGAACGGACGAGAAGCUUGCUUCUCUGAUGUUAGCGGCGGACGGGUGAGUAACACGUGGAUAACCUACCUAUAAGACUGGGAUAACUUCGGGAAACCGUAGCUAAUACCGGAUAAUAUUUUGAACCGCAUGGUUCAAAAGUGAAAGACGGUCUUGCUGUCACUUAUAGAUGGAUCCGCGCUGCAUUAGCUAGUUGGUAAGGUAACGGCUUACCAAGGCAACGAUGCCUAGCCGACCUGAGAGGGUGAUCGGCCACACUGGAACUGCGACGCGGUCCAGACUCCUACGGGAGGCAGCAGUAGGGAAUCUUCCGCAAUGGGCGAAAGCCUGACGGAGCAACGCCGCGUGAGUGAUGAAGGUCUUCGGAUCGUAAAACUCUGUUAUUAGGGAAGAACAUAUGUGUAAGUAACUGUGCACAUCUUGACGGUACCUAAUCAGAAAGCCACGGCUAACUACGUG